rnacentral:rRNA from 1 species
UACAGAGGUCUCAAGCGUUGUUCGGAUUCAUUGGGCGUAAAGGGUGCGUAGGCGGCGGGGCAAGUCUGAUGUGAAAUCCCGGGGCUCAACCCUGGAACUGCAUUGGAUACUGCCUUGCUAGAGUACUGGAGAGGAAACUGGAAUUUACGGUGUAGCAGUGAAAUGCGUAGAUAUCGUAAGGAAGACCAGUGGCGAAGGCGAGUUUCUGGACAGUUACUGACGCUGAGGCACGAAGGCCAGGGGAGCAAACGGG